UAGGGAAUCUUCGGCAAUGGGGGGAACCCUGACCGAGCAACGCCGCGUGAGUGAAGAAGGUUUUCGGAUCGUAAAGCUCUGUUGUUAAGGAAGAACGAGUGUGAGAAUGGAAAGUUCAUGCUGUGACGGUACUUAACCAGAAAGGGACGGCUAACUACGUGCCAGCAGCCGCGGUAAUACGUAGGUCCCGAGCGUUUUCCGGAUUUAUUGGGCGUAAAGCGAGCGCAGGCGGUUAGAAAAGUCUGAAGUGAAAGGCAGUGGCUCAACCAUUGUAGGCUUUGGAAACUGUUUAACUUGAGUGCAGAAGGGGAGAGUGGAAUUCCAUGUGUAGCGGUGAAAUGCGUAGAUAUAUGGAGGAACACCGGUGGCGAAAGCGGCUCUCUGGUCUGUAACUGACGCUGAGGCUCGAAAGCGUGGGGAGCGAACAGG
rnacentral:rRNA from 1 species